GACUUGCAAACCUCAACACAAGUAUUUCUCAAUUUCACAAUUACUCAACUAGCACGACUCUAGUAUCGCCACCUUUAUAUCGCAAAACUAUUGCAAGGAAUCAAACAUAUCAUAUUCAGUGAUCUACAAGUUUUAUGUAGGGUUUUAUGACUCACCAUGUGAAUGACCAGUUCCCGUCAUCUCUCUAAAUAGAUAUAAGUGAAGCACGAGAGUUUAAUUCUUUCUACAAAAGAUAUGCCCACGCUCUAACAAAUAUAAGUGAAGCAAAAGAGCAUUCUACAAAUGGCGGUUGUCUAUGUAAAGAGAAACAGGCAAUCCAAGCUUCAAAUGAUAUAAGUGAAGCACAUGAAGCAUUCUAUAAAGCCAUACUCAAAAGAUAUAAGUGAAGUGCAAUGAGCAUUCUAUAAAUCAACCAAGGCCUAUCUCAUACCAGCAUGGUGCAUAAAAGAAAAGUGAAAACUAAAUGCAAAAGACGCUCCAAGAUUUGCACAUAUCACAUGAAUGAAACGAAUCCGAAAACAUACCGAUAUUUGUUGAAGAAAGAGGGGAUGCCUUCCGGGGCAUCCCCAAGCUUAGACGCUUGAGUCUCCUUAAAUAUUUACUUGGGGUGCCUCGGGCAUCCCCAAGCUUGAGCUCUUGCCUCUCUUCCUUCUCACAUCGAGACCUUCUCGAUCAUCGAACACUUCAUCCACACAAAACUCCAAUAGAAAACUCGGUAAGAUCCGUUAGUAUAAUAAAGCAAAUCACUACUCUAAGUACUGUUGCAAACCAAUUCAUAUUUUGUUUUUGCAUUGUGUCUACUGUAAUAUAACUUUUUCAUGGCUUAAUCCACUGAUAUAAAUCGAUAGUUUCAUCAAAACAAGCAAACUAUGCAUCAAAAACAGAAUCUGUCUAAAACCGAACAGUCUGUAAUAAUCUGAACAUUCACCAUACUUCUGAUACUUGAAAAAUUCUGACAAAAUUAGGAAAAAUAAAAAAUUUGUACAGAAAGACAGUGCAAAAAGAAUCAGAACCGUUUGACGUUCCAGUAAAAAAAUUAAAAAUCACGCACUACAGCCAAAGUUUCUGUCCUGCACCGUACAAACCAACAAGCAUUGUAAACAUCCUAAAGGCAAACCUUGGCACAUUAUUUUUUAUUCCUAAGCUUUAUAAAAGCACUCAACAGAAAUAAAUGACUCUCUAAAACUUCCGGGUUGUCUCCCUGGCAGCGCUUUCUUUAAAGCCAUUAAGCUAGGCAUAUAGUGCUCGAGUAGUGAAUCCACCCGGAUCCCAAGGUAUAUCAAAGCCAAUUUUAAUUAGAAAUGAUUUGGCAUUUAGUAGUGAGCACAAAGCAACAUAUAUCAAGCAAUGACGAAGUCUAACUCUCUUCCUAUGCAUCGGCAUGUCAUAAAAGAACAAUUCAUCCACACAUAGUAAAGGCCAAUGCAUAGUAUAAACAGUUUCUUGCAAUUUUAUCGUGUUGGAAACAUAGAGAGGUGGAGAUAUAGUUCCUCUCUCAUAAUAAUUGCAAGUAGGAGCAGCAAGCACAUGCAUAUUAUAUCUAUCAAAAUCAUCAUGUGUAACGGUAAAAGGCAACCCAUCAAUAUAAUCCUUAAUAAAUGCAAACUUCUCCGAUAUAGUGUAGUCGGGAGAAUUCAAAAAGAUAAUAGGACUAUCAUGCGUGGGUGCAAUAGCAACAAUUUCAUGUUUAACAUAAGGAACUAUAGCAAGUUCAUCUCCAUAAGCAUAAUUCAUAUUGGCAUCUUGGCCACAUGCAUAGCAAGAAUCAUCAAAAAGGGAUAUUUCAAGAGAAUCAAUGGGAUCAUAAUAGUCAUCAUAGCAAUCAUCCUUCGGUAAACACGAAGGGAAAUUAAACAAUGUAUGAGUUGAAGAGUUACUCUCAUUAGAAGGUGGGCACGGGUAGCUAAUCCGCUCUUCCUCCUUUUGUUCUUCGCUCUCCUCAUCAUCUUUUUCAUCCAAUGAGCUGACAGUUUCAUCAAUUUCUUCUUCCAUAGACUCCUGCAAAAUAUUGGUCUCUUCUUGGAUAGCGGAGUAGUCCUCAAUAUAUGGUUCAACAUAGGCAUUAGAAGCAUAAUUAUCAUAGCAAUAUUUAAGUAUGGCAAAAUUUUCAGAUUUGUAAAGAGUAGCAUCAUACGUUUCAAUCAAAGAAGCAAUUUUAUAAGCACCCUUAAAAGCAACAAAUUCUUCAAUUUGUUGAAUAUCAUAGUAAUUAUAAACACCCUUAGCAUACGAAGAUAGGAUUCCAUUAUCAAUAAACUCACAUUGGUAGGGGAGGUGUUUCUACAUAUAACAUAAAUUCCAAGCAUAGCAUUGCAAACGAUGAAUUGGACCCAAUAGAAUUUCCCUUUUUCAGAUAUUCGCUGUCGCACAUAACAAGCAUGCUCAUCUAAAGAUUUGCCCUCAACUAAGCUAGUUGGGGUUUCACCAUGAGCACAAAGGGAUCGAAGAUGAUCCAAGUAAAAAGCUUCAGGAGUGUGAUAGAUUUUGAGUGGUUCUUCAACCAUUGGUUCAGUAGGUACAACUACUUUUUUGGUAUUUUGCGUUUCCUACCCAUAACUAAAGAUAGAAAACAACUAAGAACAACAAAUAAAAAUUACUUAGUGAUAAAGCAAACAAGUACACACGAGAAUAUUCACCCCACGCUAUAACUCCCCGGCAACAGCGGCAGAAAAAGGUCUUGAUAACCCACAAGUAUAGGGGAUCAAUUGUAGCCUCUUUCGAUAAGUAAGAGUGUCGAACCCAACGAGGAGCUAAAGGUAGAACAAAUAUUCCCUCAAGUUAUAUCGACCACCGAUAGAAUUGUACGCACACUUGACGUUCGCUUUAUCGAAAACAAGUAUGAAACUAGAAGUACUUUGUAGGUGUUUUUGGAUAGGUUUGCAAGAAUAUAAAGAGAGCGUAAAUAAAAAAUAGGGGCUGUUUAGAUAAAGACACAACUAAAUUAGUUUUAGUAAAGAGCUUGUUGUCACGAGAAAGUUAUUUGUCCCUAGGCAAUCAAUAACUAGACCGGUAAUCAUUAUUGCAAUUUUAUUUGAGGAAGAGGCAUAAGCUAACAUACUUUCUCUACUUGGAUCAUAUGCACUUAUGAUUGGAACUCUAGCAAGCAUCCGCAACUACUAAAGAUCAUUAAGGUAAAACCCAACCAUAGCAUUAAAGCAUCAAGUCCCCUUUAUCCCAUACACAAACAACCUACUUACUCGGGUCCGUGCUUCUGUCACUCACGCCACCCACCAUAAGCAAAUCAUGAACAUAUUGCAAACCCUACACCGGGAAUCCCUCACGCUUGCGUGACAUGGAGAGCACCAUAGGACAGCACCAAUAAUAAAACAUGCAACUCAAACCAAUCUUGAUCAUUAAAUAGCCCAUAGGACAAAACGAAUCUACUCAAACAUCAUAGGAUAGCCAUACAUCAUUGGGAAAUAAUAUAUAGCGUUGAGCACCAUGUUUAAGUAGAGAUUACAGCGGGUAAGAGAGAGGUUACACCGCUGCAUAGAGGGGGGAAGAGUUGGUGAUGAUGGCGGUGAAGUUGUUGGUGAAGAUUGCGGUGAUGAUGAUGGCCACGGCGGUGUUCCGGCGUCACCGGAAGAGAAGGGGAGAGGGGGCCCCUUCGUCUUCUUCUUCCUUGACCUCCUCCCUAGAUGGGAGAAGGGUUUCCCCUCUGGUCCUUGGCCUCCAUGGCGUGGGAGGGGCGAGAGCCCCUCCGAGAUUGGAUCCGUCUCUCUGUCUCUCUCUGUUUCUGCGUUCUAUUCUGCUGCCCUUUCACCGUUUCGUAUAUAUAUGGAGAUCCGUAACUCCGAUUGGACUGAAACCUUCGCCGUGAUUUUUUUACCAAAAAUUAGCUUUCUUGCGGCCGAAGAAGGGCAUCAACCGCCUUACGGGUGGCCCACGAGGGUCAGGGGCGUGCCCAGGGGGCAGGGGCGCCCCCCUGCCUCGUGGCCACCUCGGGCACUGUCUCGCGUGGAUUUUUCUUCCGGAAUUUUCCAAAUAUUCCAAAAAUAAGCUCCAUCCAUUUUUAUCCCAUUUGGAUUCCGUUUGAUAUGGAUAUUCUGCGAAACAUAAAACUUGCAACAAACAGGAACUGGCACUGGGCACUGGAUCAAUAUGUUAGUCCCAAAAAUAGUAUAAAAAGUUGCCAAAAAGUAUAUGAAAGUUGAAUAAUAUUGGCAUGGAACAAUAAAAAAUUAUAGAUACGACGGAGACGUAUCACGGUGGAAUUAGGUUUUCGUGGAUGCUUCUGUUGGUUUGGGGGUACGUAGGUAUAUAUAGGAGGAAGAAGUACGUCGGUGGAGCAACGUGGGCCCCAUGAGGGUGGAGGGCGCGCCCCGGGGGGUAGGCGCGCCCCCUGCCUCGUGCUCUCCUGGUUGCUUUCUUGAUGUAGGGUCAAAGUCCUCUGGAUCACGUUCGUUCCGAAAAUCACGUUCUCAAAGGUUUCAUUCCGUUUGGACUCCGUUUGAUAUUCUUUUUCUGCGAAACUCUGAAAUAGGCAAAAAACAGCAAUUUGGGCUGGGCCUCCGGUUCAUAGGUUAGUCCCGAAAAUAAUAUAAAAGUGUAUAACAAACCCCAUUAAACAUCAAAAACAGAAUAUAAUAUAGCAUGAAGCAAUCAAAAAUUAUAGAUACGUUGGAGACGUAUCAACCAUGCCCAAGCUUAAUUCCUGCUCGUCCUCGAGUAGGUAAAUGAUAAAAACAGAAUUUUUGAUGCGGAAUGCUACUUGGCAUAAUUUUUUAAUGUAACCCUCUUAAUUGUGGUAUGAAUAUUCAGAUCCGAAAGAUUCAAGAUAAAAGUUUAAUAUUGACGUAAAAAUAAUAAUACUUCAAGCAUACUAACUAAGCAAUUAUGUCUUCUCAAAAUAACAUGGCCAAAGAAAGUUCAUCCCUACAAAAUCAUAUAGUUUAGUCAUGCUCCAUUUUCGUCACACAAGAAUGCUCUCAUCAUGCACAACCCCGAUGACAAGCCAAGCAAUUGUUUCAUACUUUAGUAAUCUCAAACUUUUUCAACCUUCAAGCAAUACAUGAGCGUGAGCCAUGGAUAUAGCACUAUGGGUGGAAUAUAAUAUAAUGAUGGGGGUUAUGUGGAGAAGAAAAAAAGGAGAAAGUCUCACAUCAACGCGGCUAAUCAAUGGGCUAUGGAGAUGCCCAUCGAUUGAUGUUAAUGCAAGGAGUAGGGAUUGCCAUGCAACGGAUGCACUAGAGCUAUAAAUGCAUAAGAGCUCAACCAAAGAAACUAAGUGGGUGUGAAUCCAACUUGCUUGCUCAGGAAGACCUAGGGCAUUUGAGGAAGCCCAUUGUUGGAAUAUACAAGCCAAGUUCUAUAAUGAAAAAUUCCCACUAGUAUAUGAAAGUGACAAAACAAGAGACUCUCUAUCAUGAAGAUCAUGGUGCUACUUUAAAGCACAAGUGUGGAAAAAAAGGAUAGUAGCAUUGUCCCUUUAUAUAUAUAUAUAUAUAUAUUUGGGCCUCUUUUUUAUUUGGCCUUUCUCUAUUUUUUGGGACAAUGCUCUAUGAAUGAUGAUCAUCACACUUCUAUUUAUUUGCAACUCAAUGAUUACAACUCGAUACUAGAACAAGGUAUGACUCUAUAUGAACGCCUCCGGCGGUAUACCGGGAUAGGCAAUGAAUCAAGAGUGACAUGUAUGAAAAAUUAUGAACGAUGGCUUUGCCACAAAUACGACGUCAACUACAUGAUCAUGCAAAGCAAUAUGACAAUGAUGAACAUGUCAUGAUAAACGGAACGGUGGAAAGUUGCAUGGCAAUAUAUCUCGGAAUGGCUAUGGAAAUGCCAUAAUAGGUAGGUAUGGUGGCUGUUUUGAGGAAGAUAUAAGGAGGUUUAUGUGUGAUAGAGCGUAUCAUAUCACGGGGUUUGGAUGCACCGGCGAAGUUUUCACCAACUCUCAAUGUGAGAAAGGGCAAUGCACGGUACCGAAGAGGCUAGCAAUGAUGGAAUGGUAAGAGUGCGUAUAAUCCAUGGACUCAACAUUAGUCAUAAAGAACUCACAUACUUAUUGCAAAAAUCUACUAGUCAUCAAAAACCAAGCAUUACGCGCAUGCUCCUAGGGGGAUAGAUUGGUAGGAAAAGACCAUCGCUCGUCCCCGACCGCCACUCAUAAGGAAGACAAUCAAAGAACACCUCAUGUUUCAAAUUUGUUACAUAACGUUUACCAUACGUGCAUGCUACGGGACUGACAAACUUCAACACAAGUAUUUCUCAAUUUCAAAACUACUCAACUAGCACAACUUUAAUAUCACUACCUCCAUAUCUCAAAACAAUCAUCAAGCAUCAAACUUCUCUUAGUAUUCAGCACACUCAUAAGAAAGUUUUUACUAGUCUUGAAUACCUAGCAUAGUAGGAUUAAUUUUCCUAUUUAAGCAAAUUACCAUGCUGUUUAAGACUCUCAAAAUAAUAUAAGUGAAGCAUGAGAGAAUAAUAGUUUCUAUAAAACAAAACCAC
rnacentral:lncRNA from 1 species